rnacentral:rRNA from 1 species
GAUGAACGCUGGCGGCGUGCCUAAUACAUGCAAGUCGAGCGAACAGACGAGGAGCUUGCGCCUCUGACGUUAGCGGCGGACGGGUGAGUAACACGUGGAUAACCUACCUAUAAGACUGGGAUAACUUCGGGAAACCGGAGCUAAUACCGGAUAAUAUAUUGAACCGCAUGGUUCAAUAGUGAAAGACGGUUUUGCUGUCACUUAUAGAUGGAUCCGCGCCGCAUUAGCUAGUUGGUAAGGUAACGGCUUACCAAGGCAACGAUGCGUAGCCGACCUGAGAGGGUGGUCGGCCACACUGGAACUGAGACACGGUCCGGACUCCUACGGGAGGCAGCAGUAGGGAAUCUUCCGCAAUGGGCGAAAGCCUGACGGAGCAACGCCGCGUGAGUGAUGAAGGUCUUCGGAUCGUAAAACUCUGUUAUUAGGGAAGAACAAAUGUGUAAGUAACUAUGCACGUCUUGACGGUACCUAAUCAGAAAGCCACGGCUAACUACGUG